rnacentral:rRNA from 1 species
CAAGCGUGAGGUAAGGGCAUCUGGUGAAUGCCUUGGCAUGUACAGGCGAUGAAGGACGUGGCACGCUGCGAUAAGCGUGGGGGAGCUGUGAGCAAGCUUUGAUCCCGCGAUUUCCGAAUGGGACAACCCACCUUCACCAUUUAAUUCCGUUGUUGGCGGUUCUUUCGGGAGCUGGCAGCCGCGUAGUUAAAUGGGAGAGGUAUCACUAGGCUGAAUAAAAUAGGCUUUGGUGAGGCGAACCCGGAGAACUGAAACAUCUCAGUACCCGGAGGAAAAGACAUCAACCGAGAUUCCGUUAGUAGUGGCGAGCGAACGCGGACCAGGCCAGUGCCUGGUGUUUAGUUAACAGAAGCCUCUGGAAAGUGGCGCCAUAGCGGGUGACAGCCCCGUAUGUGAAAGCGAAACAUCAGGACUUGAGUAGGGCGGAGCACGUGAAACUCUGUCUGAACAUGGGGGGACCACCCUCCAAGCCUAAAUACUCGUACAUGACCGAUAGCGAACCAGUACCGUGAGGGAAAGGUGAAAAGCACCCCGAUGAGGGGAGUGAAACAGUACCUGAAACCGGAUGCCUACAAGCAGUGGGAGGGUCCUUGAGACCUGACCGCGUACCUCUUGCAUAAUGGGUCUGUGACUUAGUGUAUCAUGCAAGCUUAAGCCGUUAGGUGUAGGCGCAGCGAAAGCGAGUCUGAAUAGGGCGAUUGAGUAUGAUGCAUUAGACCCGAAACCCGGCGAUCUAGGCAUGACCAGGCUGAAGGUGCGGUAACACGCACUGGAGGGCCGAACCGUUUAAUGUUGAAAAAUUAUCGGAUGAGUUGUGUUUAGGGGUGAAAGGCCAAUCAAGCCGGGAAAUAGCUGGUUCUCCGCGAAAUCUAUUGAGGUAGAGCGUCGGAUGAUUGCCGUUGGGGGUAGAGCACUGGAUGGAUGCGGGGGUCGCGAGAUCUACCAACUCUAACCAAACUCCGAAUACCAACGAGUCUAGUCCGGCAGACAGACGGCGGGUGCUAAGGUCCGUCGUCAAAAGGGAAACAGCCCUAACCUACAGCUAAGGUCCCCAAGUCACGUCUAAGUGGGAAAGCAUGUGGAACUUCCAAAACAACCAGGAGGUUGGCUUAGAAGCAGCCAUCCUUUAAAGAAAGCGUAACAGCUCACUGGUCUAAAUAAGAGGUUCUGCGGCGAAGAUGUAACGGGGCUCAAGACGUGCACCGAAGCUUAGGGUGUGAUCGUUUACGAUCACGCGGUAGCGGAGCGUUCCGUAGGCCGUUGAAGCCAUCUGGUAAUGGGUGGUGGAGGUAUCGGAAGUGCGAAUGCAGACAUGAGUAGCGAUUAACAGUGUGAGAUGCACUGUCGCCGAAAUUCCAAGGGUUCCUGCUUAAAGCUAAUCUGAGCAGGGUAAGCCGGCCCCUAAGACGAGCCCGAAGGGGGUAGUCGAUGGGAACCACGUUAAUAUUCGUGGGCCUGGUGGUGUGUGACGGAUGGCGUAACUUGUUCGGCCUUAUUGGAUUGGUCCGGGCAGGGAAGUUGUCCCAGGAAAUAGCCCCACCGUAUAGACCGUACCCUAAACCGACACAGGUGGAAUGGUAGAGUAUACCAAGGCGUUUGAGAGAAGUAUCCUGAAGGAACUCGGCAAAUUGCCUCCGUACCUUCGGAAGAAGGAGGCCCCACAUAUGCGCAAGCACUUGUGGGGGGCACAGGCCAGGGGGUAGCGACUGUUUAGCAAAAACACAGGGCUCUGCUAAGUCGGCUUCAAGACGACGUAUAGGGCCUGACGCCUGCCCGGUGCCUGAAGGUUAAGAGGAGGUGUGCAAGCACUGAAUUGAAGCCCAGGUAAACGGCGGCCGUAACUAUAACGGUCCUAAGGUAGCGAAAUUCCUUGUCGGGUAAGUUCCGACCUGCACGAAUGGCGUAACGACUUCCCCACUGUCUCCAGGAUAUGCUCAGCGAAAUUGAAUUCUCCGUGAAGAUGCGGAGUACCCGCGGUUAGACGGAAAGACCCCGUGCACCUUUACUGCAGCUUCAGAGUGGCAUUAGGAAAGAACUGUGUAGCAUAGGUGGGAGGCUUUGAAGCGAUGACGCCAGUUGUCGUGGAGCCAUAGGUGAAAUACCACCCUGUUGUUUUCUGAUGUCUAACCUCGCACCGUUAUCCGGUGCAGGGACCCUCUGUGGCGGGUAGUUUGACUGGGGCGGUCGCCUCCUAAAGAGUAACGGAGGCGCGCGAUGGUGGGCUCAGGACGGUUGGAAACCGUCUGUUAGAGUUGCAAUGGCAUAAGCCCGCCUGACUGCGAGACUGACAAGUCGAGCAGAGACGAAAGUCGGUCAUAGUGAUCCGGUGGUCCCUCGUGGAAGGGCCAUCGCUCAACGGAUAAAAGGUACGCCGGGGAUAACAGGCUGAUGAUUCCCAAGAGCUCAUAUCGACGGAAUCGUUUGGCACCUCGAUGUCGGCUCAUCACAUCCUGGGGCUGGAGCAGGUCCCAAGGGUUUGGGCUGUUCGCCAAUUAAAGUGGUACGUGAGCUGGGUUCAGAACGUCGCGAGACAGUUUGGUCCCUAUCUGCCGUGGGCGUCGAAAUUUGAGAGGAGUUGACCCUAGUACGAGAGGACCGGGUUGAACAUACCUCUGGUGUACCUGUCGUCCUGCCAAGGGCGCAGCAGGGUAGCUAUGUAUGGACGGGAUAACCGCUGAAAGCAUCUAAGCGGGAAGCCUCCCUCAAGAUAAGAUUUCUUCGAGCGGUCGUAGACCACGACCUUGAUAGGCCGGAUGUAGAAGUGUGGUAACAUAUGGAGCUAACCGGUCCUAAUUGCUCUGAUCGCGCCUGAGAGUCCCACCAUCAAUGACAGUG